rnacentral:rRNA from 1 species
UACGUGAGGGUGCAAGCGUUAAUCGGAAUUACUGGGCGUAAAGCGUGCGCAGGCGGUUUGUAAGUCAGAUGUGAAAUCCCCGGGCUCAACCUGGGAAUGGCGAUGGAGACUGCAAGGCUAGAGUUUGGCAGAGGGGGGUAGAAUUCCACGUGUAGCAGUGAAAUGCGUAGAUAUGUGGAGGAACACCGAUGGCGAAGGCAGCCCCCUGGGUCGAAAACUGACGCUCAUGCACGAAAGCGUGGGGAGCAAACAGG